rnacentral:lncRNA from 1 species
AUGGAAAAAUGCCGAGGGCUUCACAAUAGACAGAAAAUGAACCAAGAUAAUCCAUAUAAUUACAAAGACACCAUACAUCUGACAAUUUUCUGUAUAUGGACCUGUUGCAGUGUCAGAGUCAUUAUAAUUUUAAGGAUUGUGCAAGAUGAGACUACAGUAAGUACGGAGGAUUUUCCAGAAGAUUUUCUAUCAAACACAUUCUUUCAAACAGGAAUGACAACAGGAUCUUUACUUGAUACAAGAGGGUAUUUUUAUAACCUUCAUGUGCACCCUCAAUAGUCUGCAUUGUAUUUGUCAUGCUUCUAAAGUUUUGCACGCAACUUACAUAGCAUACAACAAAAGAUUAUCAUGAAUAGAAUGACAAUGGACCACUAGACAAGGUAUGGAUUUAAGCAAUCUGAUACAUGAUUCUUAACCAGAAUUUCACGUAAAACACGAUUCACACAACGAAAAUUACUGAAACCAACUCUUAACGAAGAUUUUAAAGUUUUUAUUACACAUUGGUUACGAGAAAUUUGAACUGCCCGCUCACAAGAAACUCAAAGCUCUACGUGAGUCAAAUCGCGCACUUCAACGGUUUCAGCAAGCUUCUCAAUCGAGCAAUGUUCAUUUUCCACCAUGUGUUGUUCAAACUAUAAGCAAUUUGCUACAGCUGAGCCAAAGCGUCAAGAUCGAGGAUGCCAGAUUUUUACAUCGCAAAGACUGUCAUGAUAACCCGCGCGCUAUGUGAAUCACGUAGAGCAUUGAGUUUUCAUGAGCGGAUGGUUUGAAUUCACGCAUCAAGAAUCAUUAAAUAUCUUCGUAAGGAAUUGAUUUCGGUAAUUUUCGUUGUAUGCAUCGUGUUCUACGUGGAAUUUUGGUUGAGAAACAUGUAUCAGAAUGCUGAAGUUCGUACCUUGUCUAAUGGUCCAUUUGCCGUAAAAAGAUAUCUUUGUUAGGACUUAAAAAAAAACCUCCAAGCAAUUUCUAUUUGCUCGUGGUUGAGUCGAUGGAGAAUGAUCUAAAGAACAAAACAAUGAAACUGUGGCAGUAAGAUUAAUGGUUUGUUUGCUUUGUUUCAUGGCGAUGCUCAGUUUUAGCGAGGAACAGAGCUUUCAAAAUAAAAACAUAUGAAUUUCCCUAUAGACGGGCAGUAUGGAGAUCACUUGCAGAAAAUAUUCUUGACGUGAAAUUCCACUGAUUCAAAAUUCAAUUUCGCUGAAAAUCUAAAUCUAAAAUUAUUACAAAGUCUGUAGCUUGGAGAGCAAGGGCUCCUAGUAGGGAGUAGAGUUAGAUGUAUGGCAAACCGUUACUUAUGUAAUGGAACCUUGGCUUCACAUUGCUUAAAACUUACUCCGACAAAAUGCAUCAAAUACAUAGAAAUAUUUUCAGAUUAAUAGUAGGAAUCACAUAAUACUACAUAUUUCAAUUAACUGAUCACAAUGCAAAGAAACAAUCACACAGUAAGAGUAAAGUGCAAGGCACACUUCCACAUACAGUCCUCCUAAGGGCUAAAAUUUUUUGCCCCCAUAAUUUAUUUAAAUUAGUGUUCGAAGACACACAUUGAUUUGAUAGAACCGUGUAUAACUGCCUGGUUGGAUUAUUCAGACUCAGACCUCAACCAGUUUUUCCAAAUUGAGGUUGUCAUUCAAGGCAUGAAACUCAUUCUUGCCUCAGUUCUUUUUUUUUUUUUCAUUUAAGCAAUCUGGAAUUUGAAGCAAGGAAUCAAAGAAUCUGAGCAAUACCCAGAUCCUGAAUUGAGUCCUAAUCAAGAAGAAAAAAUUAAGAAGCCACCGCUUGUGAUGCAACUUUCAAAGGAUACAGUAAAGCCAAUUUUGAAGACAGUUUGUAAAAAACUAAUGUUGUAGGUGCCCCUUCACUGCAGAAUUGCCAGUUUCCGUGGAGUAGUGUCAGGUAUUAAGACAAUCGUGAUAACACUGCAGAGCAGACCUGACUUUUUGUUAAAAAAAACUGCAAUACCCUAUGCACAUCUUCUUUUUCUCGUUUAUGACUGAAAUACACAAUGAGCUUUUCUGGUUAUCAAUACAAAUCCACCUCUACAUCAAAAAAUAAAAGUUUGAGGAUGAUGACAAUCUUGCAUCCUUACAACUUUACAAUGACAUAUCUCUAGGCUGAUGCAAUCCUCAGGAAUUUCAAUACCGCAGAGUCAAUGUUACAUGCUCAAACAUUCUCAAACUAUUUGUACCUAGUAUCCAACUAGGUUAGUGCAGUGAAUGAAGGAGAAAAC